CACGUAGUUAGCCGGGGCUUCUUAAUCAGGUACCGUCUGGCGACCCAAAGGUCGCUAUUUCUUCCCUGCUGAUAGAGCUUUACAUACCGAAAUACUUCUUCACUCACGCGGCGUCGCUGCAUCAGGGUUUCCCCCAUUGUGCAAUAUUCCCCACUGCUGCCCCCCGUAGGAGUUUGGGCCGUGUCUCAGUCCCAAUGUGGCCGUUCACCCUCUCAGGCCGGCUACUGAUCGUCGCCUUGGUGAGCCAUUACCCCACCAACAAGCUAAUCAGACGCGGAACCAUCGUAUACCACCAGAGUUUUUCACACCACUUCAUGCGAAGCUGUGCGCUUAUGCGGUAUUAGCACCUAUUUCUAAGUGUUAUCCCCCAGUAUACGGCAGGUUUUCCACGCGUUACUCACCCGUCCGCCACUAACUCAUAAAUCACUAGGUUUCAAUAUGAGCCCGUUCGACUUGCAUGUGUUAAGCACGCCGCCAGCGUUCAUCCUGAGCCAGGAUCAAACU
rnacentral:rRNA from 1 species